GGAGAAUGUUAUGCUACACCACAGCUAUGGAAUCGCAAGACCUUAAAUAUGGGACAACGUACUGGGUACUUUAAUAAGUAAAAUGCAAAAGAAACAAGGAAAAGAGGAAAUUGCAAUGUAUUGGUUUUUCGUUCUUGUUUUUGUUUUUUUGCCUCUGUCAGUGGAAGUUACCCGGCCAGGGUUGGAACCCGCACCACAGCUGUAACCAGAGUCACAGCAGUGACCAUCCUGGACCGCUGAGCCACGAGGGAACACCUAUUGAUCUUAUUUAGAUUGUGAUUCAAAUUGUCAAGUUUUUUUGUUUUGUUUUGGGUUUCGUUUUUUGUUUUUUUGUUUUUUUUUGUCCUUUUGCCUUUUCUAGGGCCGCUCCCACAACAUAUGGAGGUUCCCAGGCUAGGGGUCUAAUCCGAGCUGUAGCCACCGGCCUUCACCACAGCCACAGCAAUGCCAGAUCCAAGCUGCAUUUUCAACUUACACCACAGCUCACAGCAACGCUGGAUCCUUAACCCACUGAGCAAGGCCAGGGAUCAAACCUGCAACCUCAUGGUUCCUAGUCAGACUCGUUAACCACUGCCCCACGACGGGAACGCCAUGAUAUAUUCUUUUGAGGAAGAUUUCCUUUCCUCAAUGUUAUGUUUUUGAGAUCUGUGCCUGUUGAUGCUUGUGUCAAUAAUUUAUUCCUUUUUAUUGCUAACAGUAUUUUUACAUCUCAAGCUGCCAGACUUAUUUAUCCCAUCACCAAGUGAUAGAUGUGUGGAUUUUUUCUAGUUUUGAGCUACUUAUUAUAAAUAAAUCUGCUAUGAAUUGUCACGGACAUAUCUUUGCAUUAACAUAUGUUCCCAUUUAUUUUAGGGGAAAUACCUAAAAGAAGGCCAGUAGAAUGAUAUACAGAAAGCUCUCACGGAGAUGCCUCCUGGCUCCCUGGGGAAAAGAUGUCUGUGUGUUGAUGAGGUGGGUGUGAUCACCUCCGUGGCUGGAAGACCACCGAUGGGUGGACAACACAGUCACGCUUCAGUUAUUGUCCUGCACCCAUGAGUCUCAUGCAGAUACACUCUGCCCUGGAAGUGAAUCCACUCCUACGCUGGACAU
rnacentral:lncRNA from 1 species